GCGGGUGUAGCUCAAUGGUAGAGCCCCAGCCUUCCAAGCUGAUUACGAGGGUUCGAUUCCCUCCACCCGCU
rnacentral:tRNA from 1 species